rnacentral:rRNA from 1 species
UGAGUAACCUGCCCUUAACUCUGGGAUAAGCCUGGGAAACUGGGUCUAAUACCGGAUAUGACUCCUCAUCGCAUGGUGGGUGGUGGAAAGCUUUUUGUGGUUUUGGAUGGACUCGCGGCCUAUCAGCUUGUUGGUGAGGUAAUGGCUCACCAAGGCGACGACGGGUAGCCGGCCUGAGAGGGUGACCGGCCACACUGGGACUGAGACACGGCCCAGACCUCCGUACGGGAGCAG